rnacentral:rRNA from 1 species
AUUAUUAAAGGGCCGCGGUAUUCCUGACCGUGCGAAGGUAGCAUAAUCAUUAGUCUUUUAAUUGAAGGCUUGUAUGAAAGGUUGGACGAAAAAUGGACUGUUUCAAAUAAAAAGAUUGAAUUUAACUUUUAAGUGAAAAGGCUUAAAUAAAUUAAAAAGACGAUAAGACCCUAUAAAUCUUUACAUUUGUUAUUAUAGGUUUUGGAUUGUGUGUGUAAAAAAAAAUAUAAUAAAAAUGUUGUGUUGGGGCAACAGUGAUAUAGUAAUAUUAAUUGUUAAAAAUAAAAACAAAUAUAUUUGUUAAAUAAAGAUCCUUUUUAAAGAUUUAAAGAUUAAGUUACUUUAGGGAUAACAGCGUUAUUUUUUCUGAGAGUUCUUAUCGAAGAAAAAGAUUGCGACCUCGAUGUUGAAUUAAAAAUUCUUUUUAAUGCAGCAGUUAAAAAAGAAAGUCUGUUCGACUUUUAAAUUUUUACAUGAUUUGAGUUCAGACCGGCGUGAGCCAGGUUGGU